GAAUUUGUCAAAAAGCAUGCGACGCGGCUGAAUUCGAUGCCGAGCGCGUUUUACUCCGUAAACCUGGUGGCGCGUAAACCGGAGAAGCGCACUCCACAGACCAACAGCUACGCGCGGAAGUUUCUGAUGAACUCGCAAUGGCGUCCCGAUCGCUGCGCGGUCAUUGCCGGGGCGCUGCGUUACCCACGUUAUCGCUGGUACGACCGUUUUAUGAUCAAGCUGAUUAUGAAGAUGUCAGGCGGUGAAACGGAUACGCGCAAAGAAGUUGUCUAUACCGAUUGGGAGCAGGUGGCGAAUUUCGCCCGAGAAAUCGCCCAUUUAACCGACAAACCGACGCUGAAAUAAGCAUAAAGAAUAAAAAAUGCGCGGUCAGAAAAUUAUUUUAAAUUUCCCCUUGUCAGGCCGGAAUAACUCCCUAUAAUGCGCCACCACUGACACGGAACAACGGCAAACACGCCGCCGGGUCAGCGGGAUUCUCCUGAGAAUUCCGGCAGAGAAAGCAAAAAUAAAUGCUUGACUCUGUAGCGGGAAAGCGUAAUAUACGCCACCUCGCGACAGUGAGCUGAAAGCCGCGUCGCAACUGCUCUUUAACAAUUUAUCAGACAAUCUGUGUGGGCACUCGA
rnacentral:rRNA from 1 species